rnacentral:rRNA from 1 species
AGAGUUUGAUCCUGGCUCAGAACGAACGCUGGCGGCGUGCCUAACACAUGCAAGUCGAACGAGAAAGCUCCCUUCGGGGGGUGAGUAAAGUGGCAGACGGGUGAGUAACACGUGGGUAACCUGCCCGGAGAUGGGGGAUAACCCUCCGAAAGGAGGGCUAAUACCGCAUAACAUCGGCGAGACCUCGGUUUUGCGGAUCAAAGCUUGCCUCUACUCGUAAGCAAGCGUCACCGGAGGGGCCCGCGUCCCAUUAGCUUGAUGGUGAGGUAACGGCUCACCAUGGCUACGAUGGGUAGCCGGCCUGAGAGGGCGAUCGGCCACACUGGAACUGAAACACGGUCCAGACUCCUACGGGAGGCAGCAGUGAGGAAUUUUGCGCAAUGGGGGAAACCCUGACGCAGCGACGCCGCGUGGAGGACGAAGGCCUUCGGGUCGUAAACUCCUGUCAAGUGGGACGAAUACCGCAGGGAUGAAUAAGCCCUGCGUUUGACGGUACCAUUGGAGGAAGCCCCGGCUAACUCCGUGCCAGCAGCCGCGGUAAUACGGAGGGGGCCAGCGUUGUUCGGAAUUAUUGGGCGUAAAGGGCGCGCAGGCGGCCUGGUAAGUCGGGCGUGAAAUCCCGCGGCUCAACCGCGGAACUGCGUUCGAAACUGCC